GAUGAAGAACGUAGCGAAAUGCGAUAAGUAAUGUGAAUUGCAGAAUUCAGUGAAUCAUCGAAUCUUUGAACGCACAUUGCGCCCGCCAGCAUUCUGGCGGGCAUGCCUGUUCGAGCGUCAUUUCAACCCUCGAGCCCCCCCGGGGGCCUCGGAGUUGGGGGACGGCACACCAGCCGCCCCCGAAAUGCAGUGGCGACCCCGCCGCAGCCUCCCCUGCGUAGUAGCACACACCUCGCACCGGAGCGCGGAGGCGGUCACGCCGUAAAACGCCCAACUUUCUUAGAGUUGACCUCGGAUCAGGUAGGAAUACCCGCUGAACUUAAGCAUAUCAAUAAGCGGAGGA
rnacentral:misc_RNA from 1 species